rnacentral:rRNA from 1 species
AGCAGCAGGCGCGUCAACUUUACAAUACGGGAAACCGUGAUAAGGGAACUCCGAGUGUCCGUAAAUGCGGACUGUCCGUAUGUAUAAAUAGCAUGCGAAGAAAGGCCCGGGCAAGACCGGUGCCAGCCGCCGCGGUAAGACCGUCGGCUCGAGUGGUGUCCACUAUCACUGGGCCCAAAGCGCUUCGAACCUGGGCUGGUGUAGUCUCUAGGGAAAUGAGCCGUGCUUACCGAUAGGAGUACAGGGAUAUAUGGCAAUAUAGGGACCGGGAGAGUUGAGGGGUAUUUAAGGGGUAGGAGCGAAAUCCUGUAAUCCUUGGGGGACCACCUGUGGCGUAGGCGCCUCACCAGAACGGCUCCGACAGUGAGGGACGAAAGAUGGGGGAGCACACCGGAUCAGAUACCCGGGUAGUCCCAGCCGUAAACGAUGCGCGUCAGCGCUGUAUCGAUGACCACGAGUUAUCGAGGUGCCGAAGGGAAACCGUGAAACGCGCCGCUUGGGAAGUACGGUCGCAAGGCUGAAACUUAAAGGAAUUCGGCGGGGGA